CGAGGACGGGAGGCGGAGGCGCUGCGGGGCGGGUUCCCAGGUGAUCGGCGGCGGCUACACCCACUCGCCGCCCCCGCAGGGCACAGAAAUCACUCCAGCUCAAAAGACGUGGCUGUCCUACUCAGUUCUGAGUGUCAUGCUGCUUCUGCUGGAAUUAAUGGUUCACCUAAACUGCAGGUGCUGUUAGACCCUGAGCCUAGGUGCAGGCAGUGGCUGCAUUCUGUGGUGGAAUAAGCUGUGAAAAUUUCUGAAUAAUAAUGCUUUCUGGGAGCAAGAUGGGGGAAGGAAGACACCUCAUAUCAUAGACUCUUUUUAUUGUAAUGCUGAAGGCUAUGUCUGUAGCUGAUAUGUGGCAUAUAAAAAGACAAAG